AAAAACAUGGCUCUUUGUUAUAUAAAUAUAAAGAGUCGAGCCUGCCCGGUGAAAAUUUUUUUAACGGCCGCGGUACUUUGACCGUGCAAAGGUAGCAUAAUCAUUUGCCUUAUAAUUGAAGGCUAGUAUGAAUGGUUUGACGAGAACAAUGCUGUCUCCUUAUUAUUUUCAAGAAUUUAACUUUUAGGUGAAGAGGCCUAAAUUUUAUUGAAGGACAAGAAGACCCUGUCGAGCUUAAAAGAUAUUGUAGAAUCUUAUAUAUUUUUAAAUAAAAUUUCUGCUAGGCUUUUUAGUUGGGGCGACUGAGGAACAAAAAAAGCUUCUUACUAAAAAUAAACAAUCAUGUUUGGAUCCGAUAAUAAUCGAUUAAAGGAAUUAGUUACCGCAGGGAUAACAGCAUAAUCUUUCUUGAGAGACCUAAUCGAAAGAAGGGGUUGUGACCUCGAUGUUGGACUAGAAUAUCCUAAAGAUGCAGAAGUCUUUAAAGGUCGGUCUGUUCGACCGUUAAAAUUCUACGUGAUCUGA
rnacentral:rRNA from 2 species